rnacentral:rRNA from 1 species
AACGAACGCUGGCGGCAGGCCUAACACAUGCAAGUCGAACGCACCGCAAGGUGAGUGGCGCACGGGUGAGUAACACGUGGGAAUGUACCCUUUGGUUCGGAAUAACGUCUGGAAACGGACGCUAAUACCGGAUGAGCCCUGCGGGGGAAAGAUUUAUCGGCAAAGGAGCAGCCCGCGUCCGAUUAGCUAGUUGGUGGGGUAAAGGCCUACCAAGGCGACGAUCAGUAGCUGGUCUGAGAGGAUGAUCAGCCACACUGGGACUGAGAAACGGCCCAGACUCCUACGGGAGGCAGGAGUGGGGAAUAUUGGAAAAUGGGCGAAAGCCUGAUCCAGCCAUGCCGCGUGAGUGAUGAAGGCCUUCGGGUUGUAAAGCUCUUUCGCACGCGACGAUGAUGACGGUAGCGUGAGAAGAAGCCCCGGCUAACUUCGUGCCAGCCGCCGCCGUAAUAC